rnacentral:tRNA from 1 species
GGGAUCAUAGCUCAGCUGGGAUGAGCGUCCGCUUGACGUGCGGGAGGUCACAGGUUCGAACCCUGUUGGUCCCA